GACGAACGCUGGCGGCGUGCUUAACACAUGCAAGUCGAGCGGUAAGGCCCUUUCGGGGGUACACGAGCGGCGAACGGGUGAGUAACACGUGGGUGACCUGCCCUUAGCUCUGGGAUAAGCCUGGGAAACUGGGUCUAAUACCGGAUAUGACCUCAUGACUCAUGUUGUGGGGUGGAAAGCCUUGUGCGGCUAGGGAUGGGCCCGCGGUCUAUCAGCUUGUUGGUGGGGUAAUUGCCUACCAAGGCGACGACGGGUAGCCGGCCUGAGAGGGCGACCGGCCACACUGGGACNGAGUUUUUUUUUUUUUUUUUUUUUUUUUUUUUUUACACGGCCCAGACUCCUACGGGAGGCAGCAGUGGGGAAUCUUGCGCAAUGGGCGAAAGCCUGACGCAGCGACGCCGCGUGAGGGAUGAC
rnacentral:rRNA from 1 species